UCUGAUUCAGCUACUCGAUCAGAGUAUUAUACAAGUAGCAACAUUUAAACUUUACUACAUCAAGCAAACGUUAAGAUAUAUUUUAGAUUCAGUGGAUGAAAACAAUUGGAAUGUUGUGGAAGCAUGGAAAAAUUUUAAUAUUUUGGAUUGCAUUACACAUGUUUCUUUUGCCAACCAACAGUUGCGGCAAUCAACCUUGUUGGAAAAACAUUUUACCAGCUUUCGUUCAAAGUACGAUUUCAGUGGUGCAAAGAUCAGAAAUUUGUUCUGAGGUUAAAGGUUUAUCAAAUAAUAUACAUGGCGAUGGGUUUGACAUCGAUGAAUUAAUGCAAGAAGGUCCUAUUGGUGAUGACGACUGAAUUGAAAUUAUGACAAUCAAUGAGAAUAAAGAUGUUGAAAUCGACGAAGACGAAGGUGAAGCUCAGGCUUCAACGGCUGAUAUAAUCUGUGAGAGCUUGAAAUUCGUUACAAGUGUGGGAUAACAUAUUGUUGCUCAUGAUCCCGACAUGGAGCGUGUGUUAAAAUUCCAAACUUAAAUCUUUUGUUGCUGGUUAUCAAGAAUUAUCUAAACAAAUGGAGAAACAAAAAGGCAACUUCCUUUAACAGACUUUAAAGCAAAAGAAACCUAUAGUGGCCGCUAAUAAUGAAGGUAAUUAUACAUUAGAACAAAACCCAAUAUAUCUUCUGACGACAGUGCUACUUCUAAGCAAGUACAUAUUAAACGUGCAGCUACUUAACUACUUUCAUCUGGUAACACUAUAUUCAGCAAACUAAAAUAUUUAAUCCCGUUACAAUAUUGUUCAGCUAAUAUUAGCUUCUCUAAUUCGUCCUAUUCCUUUUGAUCAUCGGACGAGACCACACGUGUUCUACUGCGGUUAACAGAAAACAUUUAUAUUCAUGCUCAAAAUAUAAUUCUUAACCGCCACAUUGGUGACCCCGACGACCGAAAUUCAUGCAAUAUACCGACGUUAAAAUCACAUUGGAGACGCUCACAACAUACCCGACGUCCUAUGCUCGGCGUACCAGUCAAAAGUCGACGUGAUUUAUGGACUAACUGCUACAUUGGGAACACGUUAUUCGGAUGUGCGUACCAUAACCUCAACAUUGGUGAGCCACAAUCGUCAACUAUAUCAUGCCACGCGGCUAAACCUGUCACAUCACUCCAGUAGCAACUCGGUACAAAGAUGAGCAACAUAAAGCAGUCACUAUCGGAAGACAAUUCCGAAGACAAGAAACCUCUACAGUCAACAUCUAACUUCAUUCGACCUAUACAGUUUAAUCCUGACAAGCCAUCGCUAUGGAUCGCCCAAAUCGAAGCACAGUUUAGGAUUCUGGGAGUGGUAAGAGAGUUCCAUCCUCGACACCGGACAUGCGGCAGAAGUGGAAGACAUCAUCGUUGAUCCUCAAACAUCAGCACCUUUCUCUGCUUUCAAAAUGGCACUCAUUAGUCAUUUUUCUAAGUCGAAAGAAGGGAAGCUACAACAACUUCUCGAAGGUGAGGAGAUUGGCUUAAGGCUAAAUGGUUGUCAACUUUACCGAAGGAUACUCGCGCCAUGUUAGCAUUGCAAACAAAUACGACGCUGGAAAAUUUAGGGGCUAGUGCAGACAGAUUUCACGAGAUCAUACAAGGCAUGCACGUUUCAUCAGUCUCCAAAAAUACUAACAACACUAAUGGUGCAGACUUCGCACAACAAAUGUCAGUCUUAACCAAACAGUUAGCAGCACUAUCAGCCGUUAUUAACAAAAGGGGAAUCCAGGUCAAACACACGACAGCAUAACAAACCGAAGUCACGUAGCUAGUCCAAACAACGUAGGCUGAGCUCUAACGGGUUUUGUUGCUACCACUCGAAAUAAGGUAAAAACGCUAUUCGGUGCAAACCAGGCUGCACAUUUUCGGGAAACGCUCUAGAGAGUCGCUGAUGACGAGUAGUGAUUUUUUGCAAAAUUCUCACUGUCUUUACAUUAGAGAUCGUACCUCUGGUACCCUAUAUCUGGUGGACACAUAUUCCGAUUUAUCGGUUUUUCCAAAAGACUUGUCGAAAGAUGCAACAGAAACAGUUGGUCAUACGCUACAAGCAGCAAACGGAUCCAUCUUCCAAACAUACGGAAAACGGUUAUUGUCUCUCAAUCUAGGUCUUCGCCGUGAGUUUUUGUGGAAAUUUAUCAUUGCCGACGUCACGAAACCAAUCAUUCGGGCUGACUUCUUGAGUCACUUUGACUUAUUAGUCGGUCUCAAGCGAAAAUGUCGACUCGACGGACGUACUGGAUUAACAUCACCCGCUAGUAAAAAAGUCAAUUAUUUGAGUACUUUAUUUAUAAGUCACC